AGUGGAGUUUCUGGGUUAUAUGGUGACUCAAUGUUUAACCACAAGUCGAAUUCCCAGGGUGUUGUCCAAUGUGGCUGUACCAUUAUACAUUCCCAACAGCAGU
rnacentral:miRNA from 1 species